GCCGCCGCCGCUCCACCUCCUGGUGCCUUCGCGAGCUCCCUGCUAUCGCGCCCGAUUUACCCGCUCGUGUGUGGCAUGGGCGAUCCAAGGUCAGUGUUACUGCUGUAGCGGGCGUGCAGCGGCACCUUCGAGGAGUGCGGCAUGGAAGAGGACGAGGAGAUGGGGUCGACUGCUCGUACGGCGCCGCCCUAUCUUCCCCGUCCGCCGCUGAACGAAGGAACCAGGGAGGAGAGUCUUCCGUGCCCGUCGUUCUGAGCAUGGCCGCCGAACUGGCGAUGCCACAUCCCGAAGCCGAAGCAUGACCGCCAAGCUGUCGCGCCGCCUCACCAGGUUUUUGCUACUAUCCCCUAGAUUCAAUGGUCAAGAGGAACAGUACAACAAGGUACCGGUGCAAGGCCAUAAAAAGAAUAGAAAUAGACUGUCCAUCCUGUUUACUAGAAGAAUUUGGGAAGAGAGUACCGAUCUUUGGGAGGAGUGGCGGCGAUACAGGAAACACGAUCUAACCAAUUUUUCAGUUGGUUGGGCCACCUGGUACAUGCUGGUCAGUUUGCUCUCUGGCUCAAGAUGUGGAGCUCAAUUUUGUCCAAAUAUAGUUCAAGAUACACUAGCAACUGGGAUACAAGGAACUUGAGAUGAACAGGAGCAACACAUAAUAUGAACUUGCAGUUAUUGGUACUAGAAAUAGUAACGAAAUGAUGAGUAUGUAAAAUUUUGUCAGCAC